rnacentral:rRNA from 1 species
CGACUUUCGAACGCAUAUUGCAGUCUUGGGCCAUCCCUUGACUUUGUUUGUCUGAGCGUCGUUAAUAAGCUAAAAACUAUCCAAAGACUCGAAUUAUUCCGUGUUGAGCUUUGUUCUCAACUCGUCGAGUCAACUUUCUUAUGACUGCCAUACAAGUCGUGCCCAGUAACACAGUGUGCAAUGUAGGGCUCUUGGCAUUACAAGCCAAUUCUGCCUGUUUGACCAUUAGCAUAAACUUGUUGCAUGGUAGAGCUUGCAAAUCAGUUGUAGAAUUAUCUCAUAUUAAGUUAACUUUCGACCUCAGAUCAAGCGAGAUUACCCCCUGAAUUUAAGC